AAGUCGUAACAAGGUAUCCGUAGGUGAACCUGCGGAUGGAUCAUUAUCACGUAUCCACGUAUCAACCAUUGUGAACUGUUUUAUAUAGUAUUUUUGUUUUUUUUUAGUUCCUGGAAGAUGUUUCGGCAUCAACUGAGAAUUAAUUAUAAAAAACAAUUAAUAUUAUAUUAUUUUUAUUAACAAUUUAAACCAUAACUUUAUAAUUUUUGACUUACUUAUUUUAUACUCUUCGGAGAUAAAAUUCAUUACGAAACAAAGAACAACUCUUAGCAACGGAUAUCUUGGUUCUC
rnacentral:misc_RNA from 1 species